AAAUGUGGCAAACAUGUCUCCCACACAUUUUCUUGGUCCACCACCGAAGGGAAGGUAACUGAAAUUUUGGUUCGUCUCAUUUGGGUUAGGUCCAUCAAGUGGCCACCUCUCAGGAUUGAAUCUAUCGGCUUCUUCCCAAUGAUUCGGGCAUCGAUGCAAGUUCCAAACAGAAAUGAAAAUGUCUUCACCCCUUUUAAUCGGGUAACCUCCAACUACGU
rnacentral:misc_RNA from 1 species